UACGUAGGGUGCAAGCGUUUGUCCGGAAUUAUUGGGCGUAAAGAGCUUGUAGGCGGUUUGUCGCGUCUGCUGUGAAAUUUCGGGGCUCAACCCCGAACUUGCAGUGGGUACGGGCAGACUAGAGUGUGGUAGGGGAGACUGGAAUUCCUGGUGUAGCGGUGAAAUGCGCAGAUAUCAGGAGGAACACCGAUGGCGAAGGCAGGUCUCUGGGCCACUACUGACGCUGAGAAGCGAAAGCAUGGGGAGCGAACAGGG
rnacentral:rRNA from 1 species